UCCUUAAAAGAAGAAAAAGUUAACAUUUUAUAUGGCAGAUUUCUCAGCAGUCAGAGAUUGGGCUAAGAUGCAGGAGUCCUCCUAAUCUAACUGAAACUGAAACCAUGAGUGUCUGGAUGAGGGCAAUGACAGUAAAAGUUAGAAGUACAUGAGCUCUCCAGAGAAAGUACUGAGGAAUAGCUGCCAAAUUUGCUGGAGGGUAUGUGGGGGAUGGGUGAGGUUUUGUGUUUAAAAGGUGUUCUUGCCAGAUGUAAGGCUGUAUUAUUCAAACAUCAAAAAUUUACCUCAAUUUACUCUUUUAGGCACAGAGGCAGGAUUACAUGGAGCAAGACCCUACAUAAAGACAUCUGUUUUCAGGGCUGGGGUUGUGGCUCAGUGGUGGAGCACUUGCCUCACAUGUGUGAGCACUGGGUUUGAUCCUCAGCACCACAUAAAAAUAAAUAAAUAAAAUAAAGAUAUUGUGUCCCUUUACGAUUAAAAAUAUAUUUUAAAAAAGACAUCUGUUUUCAUUCUUGACACUAAAAACAUUCAUUCCAAAAACUGAGCAUGAGCUAUAAGAUCUGAUUAGCUACCCACACAGAGAGUAAUAGAGUACAGAUGAUUGAAAAUAAGAUUCAAGAAUCUAAAUUAUGUAAGUUUAACUAGAGAAUACAACCUACAAUUCUAGCCUACACACAUAUUCUAUAGCGUGUUUUACUUAGGCUGAUAUUAAAAUAAGUUUGUAUUCUCUCAGUAUGAGCCACUUAGUGGCUUGGGAAUUUUCUCUGGAAGAAAAUUAAAGGAAAGUAAGAUUAAACAACAAUUUUUGCAGAAGAAUAGCAUAUAUGCAAAUAAUUAAGAAAUGCUAUAUGAGAUGAGUCAUCUGAGGGCUUAAGGUGAAUCUGUCUGGUUAUUAUCUCAGUUGUCACCUGUUUUCACCAACAAAUUCCUGGCUGAACUGGAGAAAAAACACAGAACAAGUGAUGUCCCAAAACAAAAAGGUCAUAUUUCUUUGUUUCCAUUGCUAAAUUCCCCCAGAGUAUCUGGAGUGAGCUGGUUUUUAGCUGCUUGCUUGAUCCUCAAUUCUUCUUAUAACACCUGAAGGCAUUGACCUUUAGGUCAUUCAAGUUCAUGUUGUAGAAGGAUAGAGAGAACUAUUUUGAAGUGAGGAUCAGAUGGCAAAAGAGCAGGAAAACUUUGGGGGAAAGCAGACCAACUAGACUGUCUAACUAUAUAGAAAUGGUACACUUUUCAAUAGUUGGUGAGUUUGUUCUUCUAUUCACUGUGCUGCUUUUUUCCCCUUCCUCAUCUGAAAAUGUUAAUUUUGAUCCUUUUGAUUGCUAAAGUCAGCAUAACUUUUCAUUGGGUUGUACAGGACAGAUUUUACAGUACCUAAAGUGAUACCAUUACAGCAAACUUAUUUGCAUUUACGGACAAAAUAGCUUGUUUUGUGGCUGAGAGCAUAAUGGUUUGGGCAAGUGGGAGGAAAGAGAAGAAACCAACUGGGUGUGACAGGUGAGAAGUCCUAGAAACAACAGCAUAAAGAAGUAUUGGUUAGCAAAAGCUGGGUGAAUGCAGGGAGCUGAACCUGAGGCCCAGAUGGUAUGUGGAGACCACCCCCCCCAACCUUCUAAUACACUUUUGUUGUCCUUGCUCUGACAUGUGAGCCUUUCCUGGAAACUUUCAUUAACAUCCCCAGGUGGAACGGUGGGAUCCAUGAAGAGCAUUUUUAAAACCAAAACAAAUAGAAAUCCAAGUGUAUACUCUCUGAAAACAAUUCCUGGAACAAUCAGUGAUAGAUAGGGGUGAAGGAUGAAAAGUAAGAACUUCAUCAAAACAUCUCCCCUUUUCUGUUACCUAUUAAACAUCAGUUGAGUAAAAGGCUUUAGAAGAAUAUAAGCCUUACUUGCAUAUUUUCUGGAAAUGUGUCAAGAAGAGUAAGUAUAUCUCCAUAUAUUAAACUUCACUCAGAAUAGGACACCUGAGUGAAGGAAAUCUUAUUAAGGGAGCUGACCCGCCUAUUGACAUUUAUUUAAUUAUUUUAGAAUAAAAUACACAUUGGCAAGAGCUUUUAGGAAAAAAAUGUAUCUGAUUCCCAUCCCAAGGAAAAGCAAUGGAUUCAAAGCCAAGGAGUAUUCUUGGAUUGAACUUUCAUAGUGCCUUAAUUUAGCCAGCUGGAGAAAUGCUUUUGCAAGUAUAAAAUUAUUUAAGUCUAAGAGAAAGAAAGCUUUUCAUUAUGAUUUUAAAUCUAGAAUUUACUGUAAAGUUGUCUAUUAAUUUGUUAAGGUAAAUUCCAUUUUUCAGUGAUGGUGAAAAUAUUUAUGAAGGCGUUUAUUGUGUAUUAGGGUAGUGAACUUUUCCCUACAUACUUAUCAAAGAGUUUUACUUCUUUAACAAGUAAUGAGAUAUUUUUGACAAAAGUAUGAUUUACAGUGCCUCAGAUCUAUAUAAGUCAUCAGGAACAUAAUUUCGAAACUUAAUAUUGAAUAAGAAAACAAGUAGCAGAAGGACAUGUACAGUGUGUUAUUUUUGGAUACAUAUAUAAGUAUGAAAAUUUUGGAAAAAAAUUAUGUAUAUUAUGAUACUGUUUGCCUGGUAUGGGGGAGUUGCCUGUGUGGGUUGAGAAUAAAGAGAAUUGAGAAAUGAGGUUGGUGCAUAAAAGAAAACUCUGGUCUUUCCUUUUCCCUUCCACUUCACUCUCCCUCCCUCCCUUCCUUCCUUAAAAAGUGCAACUAAAAAUUGCUUGUGAAGUUUUAUUUAAAAUUACAUAUUCCAGGGGAAAAGAUCACUAGAUGAACUACAUGUAUGCAUAUGUGCAAGAAUGUACAUAUCUCAAUGUUCACUGUACUAAAAUAUUAUUAUGACAACUACUGAUCAGUUUCUCUACCAGGUAUCCCUUAGAAGAAAACAGGCAAAGAAAAGAAUGAGAAAACAAAUCUAAUCCAUAUUUCAGUGAUCAGAGAAAGAAUAAGGAUAUGGAAACACUUGGAACAGAGAAUUAAGGGUAAAAGCCCAGGAAGGUGAAGGUGUGGAAAAAGAGAAGAGAGACAACCCAUACCAAGAAGCAACGCCAUGCAAUGUCUUACCAUGGCAGAUGCUGAGCAACCACUUUAGCAUGUGGACUUCUGCAGUGGGCUGUGAUGCAUCACCCCAUGCUCAGCACUGCAUGUAUGGGGGAACCUAAGAACUAACAGGAAACCUUAUAUUGAGAAGAUCAGAAAUAAUCCUGGAUUGCUGAAUUCCCACAGAAGAGACUUGCCCUGGAAAGUCUGCUGACUGACAACUGUUUUAAUACCUGUUCCUUUGUAUGCAACCUCAUUAUUCUCUCUGAAACUUUGAGUCCUCUGCUUAUCUCUUGUAUUUGAAAAUUUUACCAUGAUGUAUAUUGGUGUGUGUGUGUGUGUGUGUGUGUGUGUGUGUGUGUGUGUGUGUUUGUGUGUGUGUGUGUGUGUUGGGCACUCUGGGGGUCUUUUGGAGAAUUACAUCAUUCAUUACCUGUGGUCAAAUUGAAAUUGAAUCCUUGAUAAUUUUUGUUUUUGUAAUUCUUAUAAAUUAGAUGUUAUACAACCUGGAAUUUUCUUCUCUUUUCCCCUAUCGUAGGUUUCUUUUGUCUGGUUAUCCUAGUUUGUGGAAGAAAUUCCAACUUUAUCUUUCACUUCUUCUACUGAACUUAAAAAUUCAAUCCAUUUUACUUUAUGGGUUCU